rnacentral:lncRNA from 1 species
CACCCGCUUAAUAGCAACUGUCCGAUUUGAAUGGGGAAGUAGUCCCUUGAAGACACUCCCAAAACCUCCUUUACCAAGGAGCAUCUUGUCCUUGAAUCCACUUGUGGCAAUCAGUAGAUCUUUGUAGGUGAAGGAUGGAAGUCCGUACUCCCUCUGCCACUCCAGUUCAUUUCUUCUUGCAUCUAAUCGCCUCUUCAUAUAGAGCUUGAAAAGAGUGGCAGAAACAGCUAUGGCGAUACCAACAGUUGGCAAAAGAGCUGCACAUAAUAUUAUUGUCUUGAUCUUGUUGGUGUGUGUGUGUGGCUGAUAUUGAAGCUGCGCUGCAAGUUCUUGGAUAGUCUUGAUGGAUAAGGCGGGGUAGUUGAGUGCUGCAGGUUCUCCGUUGAGCUUGAAGCUCCAACCCAGAAUGUAAUGUCUGCUGGGAAUUGGGCCAGUCGCUGAGGAAAAUCCAGCAUAAACUUCCGUUCCUGGCAAAACGGUUGACAGAUUACAUGCGACUGAUAGCAGCGGCCGGCUGGGUUUGGAGAGGCAGCAAGGGGCCAUUGUGACAUUUAUCAUGGCUUGGUUGCUGUCGUAGUCCACCCACAACUGCAUGGGCUGUCCACUGAUGAGGCUCAACUUAUGAAACGCAUGAGUAGGGGUAUAGUAACCUGCCGUUGCCGACCCAACUGAAAUCAGGCCGUUUAUGUCAACCCCUAUGUGGUUGCUGUCAAUGUCUUGUAACUCAUCGUUCUGUAUGGUAUCAAUCUCGAUAGCAACGAUAUGAUUUGUUGCGUUACCGUUAUUCAAGGGAUUGAGAAGGCCAAGAUACUGGGCAGGAGAGGCGCUAAAGAAAUCUUUAUUGGAACAAAGCACAAAUGCAAGACCAUCGGAGCUAAUGUCAAUGUAAGGCCCCAUAAUGGAGAAAAGAAAUGUUGUAGAGAAGGAUGCCAGGGAGGAGCCAUUUGAGACAUCUGUGAAAUGGAGAGGGUAAGGGUAGAAAGCGUGACCUUUUGAGUGCGCGAGUCGGCCGCUGGUUAGCAUCAAGAGGCCGUCGGCGACUGAAGCGUCACCGUCCAUGGUAAGGUAGUCGUAACUGGAGAAACCAUCGACGAUGAACUCGCCGCCGUCAGCUACGGCGGCGUCAGUGGCCCAGCACACAGACAGCAGGAGAAGCACGAGGAUGAGAUACUGCAAGUGCAGAAAGCAAGGAUGAUGAAGCAUGUUUAAGCUAGACGAGGCAAAGCUUCUCGGCAAUAUGGGUCGAUCGAGUGCCAUCUAUCAUUCAAUUCCUUAUCCUCCAGCCAAGCCAAAUAAUUGGGUCCACUCAAUUCAAUGUAGAGGAAGCCCGAGUCGUCGUCAAAGCUUUAAAGUAACUUUACUACUUGACCGCUCCGGUUGCCAAACUUUGCUGGUCAUCCGUUGAACGCCCGGACAAACCUCACUUUCUCCGGAAACGGACGCCAAUCGCAUGACUGGCAAACUCCGGUCAACCAGCAACAAUCCAAAAGGGGAUCCAGGAACACCGGCCCGCCUACUAGUAGUAUUAAAUAUAGACUAAUUACAAAACUAAUUACACAGAUGAAAGCUAAUUCACGAGACAGAUCUAUGAAACCUGAUUAAUCCAUGAUUUGACAGCGUGAUGCUACAGUAAAUAUAGGCUAAUCAUGUAUUAAUUAAGCUUUAUAGAUUCGUCUUCCAAAUUAACCUCUAAUUCUCUGUAUAAUUAGUUUUAUACAGAGAAUUCGGCGAUGGGAGAGGAAAUCGCCUCUCUCUGGACUGUACCAGGGAGACGAGACUUCGGGAGAGCUCUCAAAUGGCAGGGGAUCCUUUGAUCUGAUGGCUUGCUUGCUCCAACGAUAGUUGGGCCCUUCCGCCAACGGCCCAAUAGAGGCCCAGUAGGCCUAUGUACAAGGAGCAAAGCAGAGUGAGUUCCAAGUGAACUCUGGGAGCAACUUGACUUCCUCUUCUAUUUUUUCCUGAAUACGCAGGACAGCGCCCAUGGUUUGCUUAAACUAGCUUCCAUCUAUAAUUUUUUUUAAUUAAAAAGGAACUUAUUUCAUGGCAUGGGAUGGUUACUUCUUGGAUAAAGCUCAAGACUGAGAUACGAUUUCUCAUGUUUUUGAGUUUUAUUACUGCUGGAAUGACCAAGCUUAAUUCUGAACUCUGUUGGCAAUGCAAUGAAGGUUUGGCAUAUGUGAGACAAAUCUCAAAUAAACAAAGAAAAUGUCGGAACAAAUGCCCACAGUCCCAGUGAAAACAAUGCUAGUGAUUAGUCGAAACACCUGAAAACUUAUUGUAAUGAGUUGCAUGUUUAGCAUGAAGUAGGGAGCCAAAGAGAUCGUGCAGUUGUGCAACCAACAGGCAAGCUGAUUGUGACCGCAUGGCAGUCACUCCACUGCAACCAAGGAGCUGAUAGAUUGUGCCAUGCAUUUGAAAGUAGUACUACUAAUUAAGCAAAAGGUAACCUUUGUGAACCUUUUAAAUUGGAAAUAAUUGAAGCAAAAAGAAUCCUUAAGUAGCAUUGGUACAGCAUAAUUUGUACGGCAUUGAAAGUUUGAUGCAAUGAUAUUGCCCCACUUCUUUGAACCUGUGAUCGACUGGCAAGUCUUGUCUUGAUGACAUCUUCUGUGCGGUCUAUUGCACUGGAAUGCCAGAAUUGGUUCACAGCAUUUGCAUAUCUCCAUGUGGUUUCGAAUGCCAUCAUUCACCUUCCAGGCGGUGGCGGCUCGGGUGUGCGAGGCGCGAGGGCCGGGCAGGCGGAGCGAGCGGUGGUGCGUCGGCGACGUGCAGGAGGCGGCGCGGCGUGCCAGCCGACGGCGGCGCAGGGCGAGGAGAGGCAGUUGGCGACGCUAGGCGAGGCCGCGGGGCAGCGGCGGCGCGGACCAGAGGGGCGGCGCAGGCGGUGCUGCAGGAGGUCUCGGGCGACACGGGGUUUUGCUUUUUCUACUAGGAUAGAGAAAAAAAUCCUAGCAGGCGCAAAAUCGUCCCAUUUCUGGCUCCAUCUUGGUAUCCUAUGAAUCUGAUUCAAAAUUUUAGGUUCCCUAAUUUGCACUUGAUAUGUUACCUUUUUAAAAAAAAUAGAGAUGAAUACGUAUCAACCAUGAGAACACAAGGGGAAUAACUUUACUUAAAAUUGUAAAUGAUUACAUCGGUGUCGCCUCAUUAAAAAUUUCACCUCCGUCAUGGAACCUACCACGGGGUUAAGAGUACGGCCCGUUAUAUAUGAAAUUGACUAGUCCCAACCCAUCACGGGGUUAAGAGCCACCCCUGUCGAGCAUCCUGCAGUUACGAGUGCGAGGAAGGUAGAGGUAGCCGGAUUCCCCCCAUGAUUGUCCCCAAGAAUUCUUCAGGAUGUAAAAGUCGGGGCUGUAACCCACGAGCAAUUACCCCAGUACAUGCCGCCGCCCCCGUAGUCCCACAACUGCGUGGGGAGCAGGGGCGUGUCUCAACUGCCCGCGUUGCCACUCCACUGCAUGCGUUGAGAAUGCUCCAGCUGCCGGGCGUAGGUCACAGGUGUCGGCUGCGUGCUCCGCCAUUUGCGCCGCCGCCUCUGUUUCGCGCGCAGCCGCCCACCUCCGCCGGCCAAACCCCCUCGCCAUCUCCCGUUCACGCACCGCCACCUCGCCCCGAAGCUCCAGCCGCCGCCAGACGACCGCCCGAGGCAGCCUCGCAGGGGCCACUCCCAUCGCAGGGGCCACUCCCAUCCCAUGCGCGGGCGGAUCACGGGGUAAGAGCCACCCCACUCCAGCAUCCCGCAGUUCAGUUCACUCCAGCAUCCCGCAGUUCACUCCAGGGGUCACGCCACGCCAGUCGACGGAGACCGGCAGCGGGAGGUUCCCGUCGCCGCCGCGCCUUUUGACGGGCCCAGCUGCUGCAGUGACGCCUUUGCUACAUGUAUUGGUUGUUUUGGGGUGAAUGAGAACGUCUUAAUUAGUUAAUAUUACUCCUGUUGUGAUGUUUAUGACAAGCUAAUUACUUCGUGUAUUUAAAACGGGAGGAGUAGCAUUCAAAAAGUUGUUUGCCUAAUAAUCAAAUAUAGACGACCAGACUGCUAGCAAUUGGGAGCUCUAAGUGUCCUGAGUAAUCAUCGAAAAGAAUGAAAUUUGACAAAAACUUACAACAUUCUGAAAAUGGCCGGCUUAUGCUCGUUGAACACAACUAUUCUUUAAACCUCAUUGUGCUACACGCAUCUAAGAUAGAUCAUAUUACUGUAGGUAUAGAAUAUUAUAAUCUCAAAUGAAAAAUGCUCUGGUUCAAAAUGCACAUUAUGGAGUGGACAAUAUUACAGGAUUUGAUACAAACGCCAAAGGGAUUAAUUGAAACUCUGCCAUAGAGCAGCACAUCAGAUGAGCAGCAAAAGCAGCUCUAUAAAGCAACCAACACCAAGCAAGAGCACGAUCUUGUCGUAACUAUCACGAAGUAGCACAAGAAUUUCAAUCACCUUCCUCUGGAAAGAUCGGUUAUAGCCGUCGUUGGACAUGACAUGGCAUGCUGCUCGUGCAUUUCAUUAUCAUCCUGGCUCACAUCAAAGUUGCUCAUCAGCAAAGUAUCAGGUUGCAAGUCUGUUGGGAGCGCUGCAUCCCUGUCAAGGUACUGCAUCACAAGGCGCAUGCGAGGCCUGGCGUUCGGCGAUGGGUGACAACACAGUAGGCCAAGCUUCAGUACCACCUCUAUCUCCUCCUCCACAUAGUCAUCCAGUCUCGGGUCGAUGGCGUCAGUAAUGGAGCCACGUCGCCAUGCCGCAAGCACCCAGUCUGCCAGCGCAAGAGGCUCUCCAUCAGCGCUGUUCACCCAGAUCGGCCGCCUUGCACAGGCCACCUCCAUCAUCAACACGCCCAAGGCAAAGAUGUCGGUCGCUUUGGUUGCCUUGCCAAGCCGGGCCAGCUCAGGGGCAAUGUAACCCCACGUUCCUGCCACACGUGUUGUGUGAGCGUCAGCUCCAUGAGCAUGGGACCUUGCGAGGCCGAAAUCACCCAGCCUUGCAUUCAUCUCCCCGUCAAGGAGGACGUUGCUGGUCUUGAUGUCCCGGUGGAUGACGACCUGCUCCCAGUCCUCGUGUAGGUAGAAAAGACCGGAUGCAAUGCCUUUGAUGAUGCGGAACCUUUGAGCCCAGCAUAGAUUGCGAUCUUGGGUGUGUAAGUGGCAAUCAAGGCUUCCAUUGGGCAUAUAGUCAUACACCAAAAGGAGUUGUUGCUUGUGCCGACAAUAACCAAGCAGUUGGACAAGAUUGCGGUGGCGGAGAUGACCAAGGAUGACGAUCUCGGCCAUGAACUCCUUCAUCCCCUGCUUCGACUCUGGCGACACCCGCUUAAUAGCAACUGUCCGAUUUGAAUGGGGAAGUAGUCCCUUGAAGACACUCCCAAAACCUCCUUUACCAAGGAGCAUCUUGUCCUUGAAUCCACUUGUGGCAAUCAGUAGAUCUUUGUAGGUGAAGGAUGGAAGUCCGUACUCCCUCUGCCACUCCAGUUGAUUUCUUCUUGCAUCUAAUCGCCUCUUCAUAUGGAGCUUGAAAAGAGUGGCAGAAACAGCUAUGGCGAUUCCAACAGUUGGCAAAAGAGCUGCACAUAAUAUUAUUGUCUUGAUCUUGUUGGUGUGUGGCUGAUAUUGAAGCUGCGCCGCAAGUUCUUGGAUAGUCUUGAUGGAUAAGGCGGAGUAGUUGAGUGCUGCAGGUUCUCCGUUGAGCUUGAAGCUCCAACCCAGAAUGUAAUGUCUGCUGCCAAGUACGCCAUUCGCUGAGGAAAAUCCAGCAUAAACUGCCGUUCCUGGCAAAACGGUUGACAGAUUA